rnacentral:rRNA from 1 species
CCUACGUGUGGCAGCAGUGGGGAAUAUUGCACAAUGGGCGCAACCCUGAUGCAGCAACGCCGCGUGAGUGAAGAAGUCUUUCGGUUUGUAAACCUCUUUCAGCAGGGACGAAGCUGAUGGUAGUAGCAUAAGAAUCCGCGGCUAAUAACGUGCCAGCAGCCGCGGUAAUACGUAGGGGGUAAGCGUUAUCCGGCUUUACUGGGUGUAAAGGGAGCGGAGACGGCAGUGCAAGUCAGAAGUGAAAGCCCGGGGCUCAACCCCGGGACUGCUCUGGAGACUGUGCGGCUAGAGUACUGGAGAGGCAGGCGGAAUUCCUAGUGUAGCGGUGAAAUGCGUAGAUAGUAGGAGGAAUACC